GACGAACGCUGGCGGCGUGCCUAACACAUGCAAGUCGAACGGAACUGUUUUGAAAGCUUUCUUCGGAAUGAAUUUGAUUUAGUUUAGUGGCGGACGGGUGAGUAACGCGUGAGUAACCUGCCUUCAAGAGGGGAAUAACAUUCUGAAAAGAAUGCUAAUACCGCAUGACAUAUCGGAACCACAUGGUUUUGAUAUCAAAGAUUUUAUCGCUUGAAGAUGGACUCGCGUCCGAUUAGUUAGUUGGUGAGGUAACGGCUCACCAAGACCGCGAUCGGUAGCCGGACUGAGUGGUUGAACGGCCACAUUGGGACUGAGACACGGCCCAGACUCCUACGGGAGGCAGCAGUGGGGGAUAUUGCGCAAUGGGGGCAACCCUGACGCAGCAACGCCGCGUGAAGGAUGAAUGUUUUCGGAUUGUAAACUUCUUUUAUUAAGGACGAAAAAUGACGGUACUUAAUGAAUAAGCUCCGGCUAACUACGUG
rnacentral:rRNA from 1 species